GAUCCUGGCUCAGAUUGAACGCUGGCGGCAUGCCUUACACAUGCAAGUCGAACGGCAGCACGGGAGCAAUCCUGGUGGCGAGUGGCGAACGGGUGAGUAAUAUAUCGGAACGUGCCCAGUAAUGGGGGAUAGCCCGGCGAAAGCCGGAUUAAUACCGCAUACGACCUACGGGUGAAAGCAGGGGAUCGCAAGACCUUGCGUUAUUGGAGCGGCCGAUAUCAGAUUAGCUAGUUGGUGGGGUAAAGGCCUACCAAGGCGACGAUCUGUAGCUGGUCUGAGAGGACGACCAGCCACACUGGGACUGAGACACGGCCCAGACUCCUACGGGAGGCAGCAGUGGGGAAUUUUGGACAAUGGGCGCAAGCCUGAUCCAGCCAUGCCGCGUGUGGGAAGAAGGCCUUCGGGUUGUAAACCACUUUUGUCAGGGAAGAAACGGUCAUCGUGAUAACCGAUGGCUAAUGACGGUACCUGAAGAAUAAGCACCGGCUAACUACGUG
rnacentral:rRNA from 1 species